AUGGACAGUUGUGAAGAACAUCGAAUGGAACGUGUUUCUACUAGAGUUCAUUUGACGCUGAUUUAUUAGUUUUGAUCGGAACUGGAGCUACUUACUUUAUUCAGGUCAUCAUUGGCUCUCAGAGGAUUCUCUGCUGCCAACAUAGCCGAUGAAAACAUAAUGCAACACAGGAUAAUGUUGCCGAAAUUGCUGUGAUUGCAAAGCCAGUGGCAGAAGACGCGAAAUCUGUUGAAAUAUCAUAGAGCAGAGUGUUAAGAAACGUGCUCUCAAAGUUUUAUAAAUCACAAAAGUAAAAUCACAGAAAAAACAAAGAUAUUUUUAGCAUGCAGUUAGAAGUUUUACAAUUCAAGUUAUAAACGAAAUUAUGGAAUAAAAAGCAGCUAAGAGUGGAAAUAAAUUUUUUCUACCAUAAUGGAUUUCUAUAGUCUAAUCAAACUCAAAAUAAAACCGUAUAUUAUUUCUUAUGACAAUAUACAAAACAUGGUUAAACAAAAGGACAAAUACAUGAUUAUUGAAAUUAUGUUUUAAAAAAAAAUAAUCUACGCGCACGCACACAUACACACAAAUAUAUAUAUAUAUAUAUAGUAUUUUCGGACACUUUCAAUAUUUGGGGGAAAAAUAAAACUCAAACAUAAAAACCUGUUCGUUUGUGAGAAAAGAAAAAAUGAUGUGCCCGGCGGUAUGGGUAGAAUUUUCGUUGCCGUAUUAACCUCAGACAUACGUCGGGGUCGUGCUGUAAUCAUGCCUUCUUCAUCCACUAUAUGCAAUACAAAUUUUAUCAUAUAUUACGUAUAUAUAUGUAAGUUGCCAAUUU
ensembl:ncRNA asRNA:CR43806 antisense RNA:CR43806